UCGAAUUUUACGUCGUUCUUAUUCGUGUCAUAUACGAACGCGUUAGUCAAAUAAUGUUAUAUUAAGAGUGAUGAAUUAAUUAUCUAAUUAAUUGUAUCGCGUGUGUAUUAAUAACUAGUGAUAAAAAUUAUAAUUAACUAUUCACGAUUUUUAUUAGUAUCCGGACACGUAAGAUAAACUCGGAAUUUCGGAAUCGAAUUUUCCGCGAGUGUAAAAAGAAAGUCGACAUGUUCAGUCAUCUCCAUGUUCGUCUACAACAUAUUGCGUGCGAUUAUUUACGGGACGCUUAUGCCGCAGAUAUAAUAGUGAAGAAGUAUAUCGUGGACGUUAACGGAAUCAUUAAUCGUUGUAAUUAAUGCUGUGACGGUUACAAUCAUAAUUAUAUAGCAUCAUAUCCGAUUUAGAAAUAAUGAGAAUAAAUGUGUAGAAGUCAUAGAAAAUAAAUAUAUUGAACGUGUAGUAUCGACAGAGAAAGACAGAGAGUAGAGAAAAAUAUCGGGCGAUGAGUAUCGUAUUGUGUACAUAGAUAUUAUCUCACAUUGAUAGUGGAAUAUAUUACAAUGAAACGGACGAAUUAUUUUCUAGUGUUAAAUUCGAAAACAGGACAGUAAUCGUAUUUUGAUAAUCCAAAGUUGCCGGCCAUUAUUUGUUCUGUCCUUGACUCGCGUAGUUAUAAGUCAACAGUAUCAGCGCACUUCCGACAGUUCGGGCGAAUCUUCCGACAAUGUCACAUCGGUCCGUAAUUUACGCGUAUUUUUCUCGUCGAGCUCUCGAGUCUUAUAUGCGACUGAACAUCGGCAGCAUUGAGUGAUUAUAUUUCACGGCAUAUUUUGUGACGAGAGUGCCGGACAAUAAAUAAAGUGACGGACAAUUAAGAUUAAUCGAGACACCGUCGGAUCGGUCUGUAUUUUGCGCGUGCUUUUCUCGUCGCGCUCGAGUCUUGCGGGCGUUUGAAUUGGCAGCACUGUGUGAUGUAAUAUUUCGCGUUAUUUAUUCGUUCAAAGUAUUUCGUGUGUCGUAUAACACGGGAGUGCCGUGUGGGUGAAAUGACGGACAAUGGAAGUGAAUUAGAGUGUCAUCGGAAACUUUCUUGUGGACUUUCUCCUUGUCGCAGCGUGCAUCAUCCGGUGGAAUCAAGGUGCCGAGACGACGAAGAUGAUGGCAAAUCUGUCCGGAGAUGUCGACGAGAGGAGAAUGCGAGCGAACGCGCAGACUCGCCGAGCAAACCGCCUCAAUCGUCUAUCAUCGACGGCCUUUGCGGAAAACGAUAGAUCGCGUUAUCGUUAAUGACAUUUCGCGGCCAGUUUUCGCGGCCAACCUUUCGCGGCCGUCGACGAGGAAUACGAGGGUCGGCGGCGAGACAAGAAGGCAGGUCAGGCAAAUCGAUCUGUCGGCGACACGUAACGCACAGCUAAGUAACGUGUUAAAACCCCGCGAGCGUCCCGACUAUGCUUUCAGCAUAUUUGCAUAGGAUUCUCCUCUCUCUCCUGUGGCACGGCAGCUACCUAUCCAUGGUACGCGAGCAGCAGCACCCGCCGAACGUUUACGUAGCUACGCAAAAUGACAGCGCUUCCAUUACGCAUACCCAGAAUGGCCGGGAUACUUAGCGAUCGGUAUUCCGAUUACGCCUAUGCACGUCGGAGCGCAUCUUCGAAUCGCGUCCGGCCGCGAUCACUGCAUGUAGAACGAGCCUGGCGAUCCUUAAAGCGAUGGAGAUCAGACCUCUCCGCACGUCGACUUAUGACAUAUCGCAUGGAUUAUUAUCAGAUAAAGUAAAAUAAGGUAAGUAACGUGUGGCAAAUAGACUGCUAAAACUAUGAUUAAAUUUGGCGAAUGUGUGCUUCCUAGUUACGUAUUUUAAGUUUAAAGUCUACAUUGCCUAUUUAGGGACUAAUUGCGCGCUUGUUUCUUCACGGGAAAUUACCUUGCGCUUAGACGAUAUCGAUUUAGUAGCGCUAUAUGUAUGUAUAUAAUGACAAUGUUCAUUAAGUAUAUUAUAGUACUUACAUAUACAUAUAUAUAUUUUUUAAUUGGCUAUAAAAAGAUCGUGAAAAUAAAAAUAUUGUGAAUACGUAAAUUUCUUUAAGAAGUAAUUGAUACGGUUUGAAAUGAUAUAUCUAACAUUGCACGAUUACGUUCGUAAUGUAUGCUAGUUAUUGUACAACCUAAUAAAACGCGCCGUUAUGUUUUUGAAUAUAAAAAGUUUUAUGUCAUGUUUCCUUUAAAAUCUAGUUGUGUCUCAUUACAUCAUUUCCCUUAUAUGUAUUUCCAAGAAAAAAAUAACAAUUUUAAAAUAAUUAGAUGAAAAACAUUGUCGGCAAAGUGUGAUGGGAAAUCAUAUAUCCCAUGUGUCAUUAAUUGAAUUGUAACAGUAUUUAUUUAUAUUAACAAUUUGUUAUCUAUUAUCAUUAUAAUUAAUUAAUAAAAGCAUCACCUGGGGCGAUAAAUCAUAGCAUAUAUAAGUUGUUUUCUGUUUCUUGCGAUUUUUCAAAAUUUACAUAAUCAUAUUAAUGCGCCGCUAUUAUUGUCGACAGACAUCGAUAGGAAUUUUUAUAGCAUAUAUUGAUUUCCAGUACGUUCCACAUUUUUGAAUUAAGCUAUAAUGUCAUUAUAUAAUAUAAUUACCUCUUACUUUAUUUGUGUGUAAUUAAAUCUAUAUUCUAUCGACAGUUAUUUAAUUAACUCAAUUAUAGAUUAUCGAAAUAUUGAUUUUCAUCGUGUGCUUCACAUUUUUUGAGCUAUUUAAAAUAUAAUAAUACAUU